GGAGGGAUGGCCGAGUGGUUUAAGGCGGCGGUCUUGAAAACCGCUGACCGCAAGGUCCGUAGGUUCGAAUCCUACUCCCUCCG
rnacentral:tRNA from 1 species